rnacentral:rRNA from 1 species
UGCGUAGGCGGCUAAGUAAGUCAGAGGUGAAAGUCUGCAGCUCAACUGUAGGAUUGCCUUUGAUACUGCGUAGCUUGAAUGAGGUUGAGGUCAGCGGAAUGUGACAUGUAGCGGUGAAAUGCAUAGAUAUGUCAUAGAACACCGAUUGCGAAGGCAGCUGGCUGGACCUGAAUUGACGCUGAGGCACGAAAGCGUGGGGAGCGAACAGGAUUAGAUACCCUGGUAGUCC